rnacentral:lncRNA from 1 species
AGGAUGUAUUUGGCCAUGGCCCGUGGGUACCAACAGUCAUUUCAAAGCCACACGUGUCUGUGACUGAACUCCGUCCUUCCUAAGGAUUUUGCAUAGAAAAGCGGCCCUAAUUUGCAGAUAGGCCAAUGGUUGGGACAUGAAGAAUUCAUCUGCCUAUACUUGAAAUGAUUUCAUGACACUGUCUCACCCACCUGAAGUCAAUUUGCUGCCGCUUCAGAGAGGGGAGUUCCCUAUGGCAAGCUUCAUGAAACAAGGACGACGUGUACAUGUAGCAUGCACAGAAGCAACAUGAGCACUAACAGUGGUCAACCUUCGUACAUCCUACACGAACCUGUCAUUACAGCCAGAGACAUCCACGCAACAUGCAUUGCGACAAGGACAGGCCGAGACUUCAGACACUACUGGUUCUAGGUCCAUGCAACAUCCAGUGCACAAUGUCUACCUGCAGCACUGGGCUACAUGAAAGCUGCUGUAUGUACAACAGCUGUGCAACAGCUGACAAAUACCUGAAGGAUGAGCCACACUGGAAUCAGCCACAUCAGCUAUGCCUCGUGUACUUGCCCCUAAAGACUUCAGCCAUCACAGAAACCUGUCAUCUUGGUGGAACCCUCACAGUCUGUUGUCACAGACUCUAACUUCAGCCCCAUCAUCAGUUCGUCUGCUCAGUGACCUGAGCUGCAAAGUAGUCAUACCCCUAAGAGGUUGUGACAUGCGUUUACGUACCUCCUCGACAUCAUUGGAAUCCACAUCACUUGUGCAUCAACUGCGGGGUACCUGAUCUCUAAAACUUCACCAGUGCACCAAUUCAUGGAAGAGUAUCUUCUGAGUUUGUAGGAUGUCACUGUAGUGCUGAACAUUACUUGUGUUUAUCUACCGAUCAUCUCACUUAUUGGAAGACUCGAGUUUUGCAUAUCUCUGAAUUGUAUUCCAGAGUUCUCAUCAUCCAUGGCUUGAGUCCACCACACCAGCAGUGCUUCAAGGAAUCGACUUCUCAAGACUCAAGUAAUUGCAGGAAGCCUUGUCAUUUUACAUGCUGUGUUAUGCAACUGAAAGACAUCUCUGGAGGCCACCACAUCAGCAGUGUACUUUCUACUUGACUUGAAUCUAUAUGUCUUAAAUUUCUUUCCCUGGCCACCAACCUUCAUCCCUUCGACUCCUCGAGAGUGAUUGUGCAUCAAAGUUGAGAGAUUCAAUCCGUCCCCAUGCAAUAAAAUUAGACUCUUUAGAUUUAAGUCAUGCAUGACUUGUACAUUUGCUGAAAUGAAUAUGCACGUGUUGUACAUGUACGUGUAUGCCAAUGUCUGGACGAUGUGUGAGGCUGCUGUACAUGCAGGGGACUUCUUGAAAGCCGUGAUAAAUCCAACAUGAGUUCCAGCAUGGGACGGCUCAUGGUGUUAUGCGUGACAUGCAUUCUAGGAAUUGCUGAACUGCGCCGCUGGAUGCACCAUUAAUCAGUCAGUCACACCUGUCAACUCGUCGAUAUUGAUCAAUCCGCCCUCCUUUGCCCAUUCCUUUUUGUUCUCUUGAACCUUGCACGAGCUGCUACUUGCACCUGUGACUGUUGAGGGGCCUACUGCAAGCCCCCCUGUGGAUCCGUUGUUAACUUCUGUAUGUACCAUUCAUUGGACAUCCUGUGACUUUCCUUGAGAUGAGACAUCCUGGCUGUCUUGGGCCAGGAGAGGUUGCCCGUCGUCGUGUUGAUGACAUCAGUACAAGAACAAUGAACUAUGCACUCUGAUGAAUAAUUGAACUCUGAACUGCUUUGAUAAAGCAUUUGGAACAGUGGCAAGACAGACCCAAGCCUCACAGAAUGCUGUCUUUCAAAGUUGGAAGCAGCUGAAUUUCAUGUGUGCGUUGCAGAGAUGAAAACUUCAAAAGUAUUCUUUUAAUAACAGGAAAAAAGUCCCGAUCAAAAGUCUUACCUCUUUGAUGAACCAAAUUUUGAAAUUUCUGAAGAUAUACUUCAGUUUCUGCAUCCUGCCAUUACAGAUUUUCAAAAUAGUUUUGUGUAACAGGGAAAACAAUCCUGAAUUUCCACAAUUUCAUGAAACUGGAAGUUGGAAAUCAAAGAGCAUUUCUGUGAGGGCCCGUGGUCUGAGUUCAAGUAGGAUAAAGCAUUUUGAGUAUUGCCUGUUGGAUGCUGGGUACUGGAUUGUUUUGAUGGGCAUGUAUUGAGCAGAACACAUGCU